rnacentral:rRNA from 1 species
GGGCCCGCACAAGCGGUGGAGUAUGUGGUUUAAUUCGAUGCAACGCGAAGAACCUUACCAGGGUUUGACAUCCUGCGAAUCUCUUGGAAACAGGAGAGUGCCUUCGGGAACGCAGUGACAGGUGGUGCAUGGCUGUCGUCAGCUCGUGUCGUGAGAUGUUGGGUUAAGUCCCGCAACGAGCGCAACCCACGUCUUUAGUUGCCAGCGAGUAAUGUCGGGAACUCUAGCCAGACUGCCGGUGCAAACCGCGAGGAAGGUGGGGAUGACGUCAAAUCAUCACGGCCCUUACGUCCUGGGCUACACACGUGCUACAAUGGUAGGGACAGAGAGCAGCCACUGGGCGACCAGGAGCGAAUCUACAAACCCUAUCACAGUUCGGAUCGCAGUCUGCAACUCGACUGCGUGAAGCUGGAAUCGCUAGUAAUCG